rnacentral:rRNA from 1 species
ACUGAACGCUGGCGGCAUGGCUAAAACAUGCAAGUCGAACGAGAAUCCGCCGCAAGGCGGAGGACAGUGGCGGAAGGGUCAGUAAUGGGAUCGAAUGUACCCCGAGGUGGAGGAUAGCGUCGGGAAACUGACGGUAAUACUCCAUGUCCUCUACGGAGAAAAGAUUUAUCGCCUUGGGAGCAGCGAUCCUCCUAUCAGGUAGUUGGCGGGGUAAAAGCCCACCAAGCCGAAGACGGGUAGCGGGUGUGAGAGCACGGCCCGCGACAUCGAGACUGAGACACUGCUCGGACUCCUACGGGAGGCUGCAGUAACGAAUAUUCCGCAAUGCGCGAAAGCGUGACGGAGCAAUGCCGCGUGCAGGAUGAAGCGGUUUUGCCGUGUAAACUGCUGUCAGGGAUACGAAACACUGAUCUAUCCCAGAGGAA